UGGGGAAUCUUCGACAAUGGGCGCAAGCCUGAUCUAGCCAUGCCGCGUGAGCGAUGAAGGCCUUAGGGUUGUAAAGCUCUUUCAGUGGGGAAGAUAAUGACUGUACCCACAGAAGAAGCCCCGGCUAACUCCGUGCCAGCAGCCGCGGUAAUACGGAGGGGGCUAGCGUUGUUCGGAAUUACUGGGCGUAAAGCGCACGUAGGCGGACCGGAAAGUCAGAGGUGAAAUCCCAGGGCUCAACCUUGGAACUGCCUUUGAAACUCCUGGUCUUGAGGUCGAGAGAGGUGAGUGGAAUUCCGAGUGUAGAGGUGAAAUUCGUAGAUAUUCGGAGGAACACCAGUGGCGAAGGCGGCUCACUGGCUCGAUACUGACGCUGAGGUGCGAAAGCGUGGGGAGCAAACA
rnacentral:rRNA from 1 species